GAAAAAGGCGCGAACAAUUUCAGUAGCUGGUACNGAAUCAGUNUAANCCUGUGAACAUACCUAUAACGUUGCCUCGGCGGGAACAGACGGCCCCGUAACACGGGCCGCCCCCGCCAGAGGACCCCUAACUCUGUUUCUAUAAUGUUUCUUCUGAGUAAACAAGCAAAUAAAUUAAAACUUUCAACAACGGAUCUCUUGGCUCUGGCAUCGAUGAAGAACGCAGCGAAAUGCGAUAAGUAAUGUGAAUUGCAGAAUUCAGUGAAUCAUCGAAUCUUUGAACGCACAUUGCGCCCGCCAGUAUUCUGGCGGGCAUGCCUGUUCGAGCGUCAUUACAACCCUCAGGCCCCCGGGCCUGGCGUUGGGGAUCGGCGGAAGCCCCCUGCGGGCACAACGCCGUCCCCCAAAUACAGUGGCGGUCCCGCGCAGCUUCCAUUGCGUAGUAGCUUACACCUCGCAACUGGAGAGCGGGCGGCACGCCGUAAAAACAACCCAAUUCUGAAAUGUUGACCUCGAAAUCAGGUAGGAAUACCCGCUGAACUUAAGCAU
rnacentral:rRNA from 1 species